GAUGAACGCUAGCGGCAGGCUUAACACAUGCAAGUCGAACGGUAAGUUGGAAGCUUGCUUCCAACACGAGUGGCGAACGGGUGCGUAACGCGUAUGCAAUCUACCUUCUCCUGGAGAAUAGCCCUUAGAAAUGAGGAUUAAUACUCCAUAGUAUAACAAUUUCGCAUGUUAUUGUUAUUAAAGCUUCGGCGGAAGAAGAUGAGCAUGCGUCCCAUUAGUUUGUUGGUGAGGUAAUGGCUCACCAAGACUACGAUGGGUAGGGGGCCUGAGAGGGUUAUCCCCCGCACUGGUACUGAGACACGGACCAG
rnacentral:rRNA from 1 species